GGUUUCCUCUUGGAAUCCGGAGGCGCUAAAAAGGCACUUAAGAAAGGCACUAAAAGUCAGUGACCCCAAACCAAAGUCACUGAUCCCUGGCUCUGGCUGCUUUCCAAACCGCAUACUAGUGCACUAAUUAGUGCCCAUGAAUAGCACGCCACCUAUAGUGAUUAUAGAGAUAGGAUACUAUUAUCACAAUAUUUACACCAAUAUGAGAUGUAGAAAUUGUGAAAACAUGACCUUUAUUGUUGAGUAAUAUAGCGUGUGUGUGUGUGUGUGUGUGUGUGUGUGUGUGUGUGUGUGUGUGAUCCAUAGCUUCUCUCCCCGAAGACAUAUUAACGGAAUGCGUAAUGGCUUGGAUGUGCGUAAAUCCUAAAGCAAGCGAUUUUCCCUGGAAUCUCAGGAUUCAUUUUGUUUCUGACGAGCAUCAGCACCGUGAGUAGGAGCAAGAGGAUGAAGAGCGGAUGGAAGAAUCUCAUGUUGAUGCGACUUCUUUGAUAGAUAACAGCGCGCUCCUCUUCUCUUCUUUCCUCAAGCACCAAUUUUAGAUCUUGAGAAUCAAGG